GUGCCAGCAGCCGCGGUAAUACCGGCAGGUUGCGUGGUUGUUCCUUUUAUUGGGCCUAAAACGUCCGUAGGCUGUUUGGUAAAUCUGUGGGUAAAUGAAUCCGCUUAACGGAUUAAAUUAUGCAGAGAAUGCCAGACUAGGGACCGGGAGAGGUAUGAGGUACUCUGGGGGUAGGGGUAAAAUCCUGUCUUCCUCAAAGGACCACCUGGUGCGAAGGCGUCAUACUGGAUCGGAUCCAACGGUCAAGGACAAAGCCUGGGGGCACGAACCGGAUUAAAUACCCGGGUAGUCCCAGGUGUAAACACUGAGGAUUUGGUGUGUGGGGUCCGCAAUGGGCCCCGUGUGCCGGAGUGAAGAUGUUAAAUCCACUGCCUGGGGAGUACGGUCGCAAGGAUGAAACUUAAAGGAAUUGGCGGGGGAGCACUGCAACGGGAGGGGCGUGCGGUUUAAUUGGAUUCAACGCCGGAAAACUCACCAAGGCCGACUGUUAAAUGAAGAUCAGGGUAAUUAGUUUAUCGGAUUAUCAGAGAGGUGGGGCAUGGCCGUCGUCAGUUGCUACUGUAAAGCGUUCUGUUAAGUCAGAUAACGAACGAGACCCGCAUCCCUAUUUCCCCCCCUUUUUUCCGGAAAAGGCGCUCCAUAAGGAGAUUGGGGGUGUGAAACCAGAAGAGAGGGGGGGCAGUCACAGGUCCAUAUCCCCCGAAUGUUUUGGGCCACACGCGCGCCACAAAGGAGGGGACAAAGGGAAGCCACGCCGAGAGGGGGCGCUUCCCCGAACCCCCUUUGUAGUUCGAAUCGAGGGCUGUAACUCCCCCUCGUGAAGCUGGAUUCCGUAGUAAUCGUGUUUCAACAUAGCACGGUGAAUAUGCCCCUGCUCCUUGCACACACCGCCCGUC
rnacentral:rRNA from 1 species